CCUGAUGCAGCAACGCCGCGUGAGGUAUGAAGGCCUUUGGGUGUGUGAAGCCUCUGUCCUAGGGGAAGAAAAAAAUGACGGUACCCGAGGAGGAAGCCCCGGCUAACUACGUGCCAGCAGCCGCGGUAAUACGUAGGGGGCAAGCGUUAUCCGGAAUUAUUGGGCGUAAAGAGUGCGUAGGUGGUCUACUAAGCGCGAGGUGAAAGGCAAUGGCUCAACCAUUGUUAGCCUUGUGAACUGGCAGACUUGAGUGCAAGAGAGGAAAGCGGAAUUCCUAGUGUAGCGGUGAAAUGCGCAGAUAUUAGGAGGAACACCGGCGGCGAAGGCGGCUUUCUGGAUUGUAACUGACACUGAGGCACGAAAGCGUGGGUAGCAAACAGGAUUAGAUACCCUGGUAGUCCACGCCGUAAACGAUGAGCACUAGGUGUCGGGACAUGAGUCUCGGUGCCGCAGUUAACGCAUAAGUGCUCCGCCUGGGGAGUACGCACGCCAGUGUAAAACUCAAAGGAAUUGACGGGGACCGCACAGCAGCGAGCAUGUGGUUU
rnacentral:rRNA from 1 species